rnacentral:rRNA from 1 species
AUUGAACGCUGGCGGCAUGCCUUACACAUGCAAGUCGAACGGUAACGGGCCUUCGGGUGCCGACGAGUGGCGAACGGGUGAGUAAUACAUCGGAACGUGCCCGAUCGUGGGGGAUAACGAGGCGAAAGCUUUGCUAAUACCGCAUACGAUCUACGGAUGACAGCAGGGGACCGCAAGGCCUUGCGCGGACGGAGCGGCCGAUGGCAGAUUAGGUAGUUGGUGGGAUAAAAGCUUACCAAGCCGACGAUCUGUAGCUGGUCUGAGAGGAUGAUCAGCCACACUGGGACUGAGACACGGCCCAGACUCCUACGGGAGGCAGCAGUGGGGAAUUUUGGAGAAUGGGCGCAAGCCUGAUCCAGCCAUGCCGCGUGCAGGAUGAAGGCCUUCGGGUUGUAAACUGCUUUUGUACGGAACGAAAAGCCUUCUUUUAAUACAGGAGGGUCAUGACGGUACCGGAAGAAUAAGCACCGGCUAACUACGUG